GAUGAACGCUAGCGGCGGGCUUAAUACAUGCAAGUCGAGGGGUAGCAAUACACCGGCGCACGGGUGCGUAACGCGUAUGCCACCUACCUUUAUCUGGGGGAUAGCCCGGGGAAACCCGGAUUAAUACCGCAUAACAAAUUGAUUGGCAUCAAUUGAUUUUAAAAGAUUUAUCGGAUAGAGAUGGGCAUGCGUAAGAUUAGAUAGUUGGCGAGGUAACGGCUCACCAAGUCUACGAUCUUUAGGGGCUCUGAGAGGAGAAUCCCCCACACUGGCACUGAGAUACGGGCCAGACUCCUACGGGAGGCAGCAGUAGGGAAUAUUGGGCAAUGGGCGCAAGCCUGACCCAGCCACGCCGCGUGCAGGAAGACGGCCCUCUGGGUUGUAAACUGCUUUUGACUGGGAAGAAAAGACUCCUUGCGAGGAGAGUUGACGGUACCAGCAGAAUAAGCCACGGCUAACUACGUGCCAGCCGCCGCGGUAA
rnacentral:rRNA from 1 species